rnacentral:rRNA from 1 species
UACGUAGGUGACAAGCGUUGUCCGGAUUUACUGGGCGUAAAGAGCGCGCAGGCGGUCGUUCAAGUCGAGUGUGAAAGCCCCCCGGCUCAACUGGGGAGGGUCAUUCGAUACUGAUCGACUCGAAGGCAGGAGAGGGAAGUGGAAUUCCCGGUGUAGUGGUGAAAUGCGUAGAUAUCGGGAGGAACACCAGUGGCGAAGGCGACUUCCUGGCCUGUUCUUGACGCUGAGGCGCGAAAGCUGGGGGAGCAAACGGG